GCCCGGUUAGCUCAAUCGGUAGAGCGUGAGACUCUUACGAGUAAUUGGCAUCUCAAGGUUGCGGGUUCGACCCCCGCAUUGGGCU
rnacentral:tRNA from 1 species